CGUAGGUGAACCUGCGGAAGGAUCAUUAUUGGAUUUUGAAACUUCAGGCUGCUGCUGGCUCUCCUCGGAGGGCAUGCGCACGCUUGUUGUCCAUUAUUCCUCCACUGUGCACAAAUUGUAGACCUUUCAGUAGGCCUAUGUUGUUUUUCACAAUCUCUGAAUGUAAUAGAAUGGUUUUGAAUCUUGGGAAAUACAAUACAACUUUCAGCAACGGAUCUCUUGGCUCUC
rnacentral:misc_RNA from 1 species